AUGUUUUUGCAGUAAUGACCCCCUUAAACAACCAGAGGUCCUUUCCUAAAGUUUAUGGAAAUUUUAGUGAAGGCCUUGGUUUCUUUCCUUGCAAAAUGUAUAGAAAUAAUAAAGCUAAAUACCAUAAAAUGGUCUUGGCAUAUUAGCAGUGAUAUAAAAUAGUGGUUUGAAUAUGAAUGAACAACAAAAAAAAACAUCAACAGAGCCUUUUUGAGUUGGGAUUCUUUCAUUAUCACACAAAAACAGACAUAGACAGAC
rnacentral:lncRNA from 1 species